UAACACUACUGCUGCUAACAGCAGCAGCAGAAACAACAACAGCAGCAAAGUAUAUGAUAUUUACAUGCUAUAUUAAGCCACAGAGACGAAUAAUUCCUCAGCUGGAUAGCAGAGAAGCCAACAGAGAAAAUGAAGGUGAAAAUAUUCAUAGCAUUUCUUCCAUUCUAUCUCAGGGUUCAUUAUAAGCGCUCAUAUAAGGAAGGGUUUUCUCUGCUCAGGAGGACUAUUAGAGAACAUAUGGUGUUUGCAACCUUCAGUAUGUGAUUCUGAGUCCAAGAGCAAGAGGCAAGAGAGCAUCAUGGAAGCAAUUUCUUAACCAACCUGGCAAAUCUCGUAGUUCGGCUUUGGCAACUGAAGACUCAAAUAGGAAGGUUGCUGCUUUGGGAAAACUUGCCUAAGCCCUUUGCUGAGCACCAAAACUGUCUCCUCAAAUGCCAUUCGUUUUUAUCACAGGAUGUCUAGUCCAAUCACAUUUCAUUUGUUUGCUUUUGGCUUUGUGUGUUUCAUGUGUUUACUUUCAGUUAGGCACAUGAAUUCUCAUAUGUGACUUAAAUUUGGGUUUUUACCUUUUUCUUUCUUUUUUUUUCUUUUUUCUUUUUUUGUACUUUGCUACUUUGUACACUGAAUAGCUCCCCUAUUGUGCAUUGGGCUGUAAUGGAAAGGAAUGAUUAAACUUUUCCUUAGUACUGAAAGUAACUUAUAACCAGAGAAGAACCAUGGCUAAUUGCUUUCAACAUGAUUGUUCUGGCAUAUCCCCAGGCAGGUACUAGAGCCUUAGUAUCUUGCCAGAUCCUGCAUAUGGUAAUACUUGGCGGGAGCUCCCACACUAAGUGGUAGGGUCCACAGCCUGUCACUUUAAUUUUCCUGGACUGCCUGCAGCAAUAUUUAACAUAUUUAAAAUGGCAGCUAGUAACUGUCUGCUGAUGUCAGAUAAAUCCAUGAACAGGAAUCUAAAGUAGAACUCCUUGUCAAACAUACCUUGAAAUCUAAAGUGAACUGUGUAUAAAACAACAGCUAAGGGCAUAAAUGUCAAACUAGUAAGAGGUAGGAAGGGAAGAAAUUAGCUUCAGCCUCAACUUUCCUAUCUGUAAUAUGGGAAUAAAAAAAACAGCUCUACUUAACAAGGAAGUUGUACUGAGACAAAGUAGGGUAGUUGUUAAUAUUCAAUGAAGCACAAUGUACAGUAGAUGUUAAACGAUAUAAAUUUGAAUUAGGGCAAAUGAAGUAAGAAUAAAACAGUAGCUUUUUUUAAAAAAAAAGUUGAAAUAAUUCUUGACUGUCAGUUCAUGCCACAUAUUUAUGCUGCAAAGGCUUUGCAAAUCACUCUGCAAUGUGAAAUAAAAGGCAGUAUGAAAAGCCAAUAACUUUUUAAGGGAUAAAAUGCUUGCUUUGACUUAGAGAACUCUCCCGCUUUCCAGGGGGAACAGUAACCUCAGCCACCUUCACUAUCACUGUGGCAUUUCAGAACAUUUUCUAGGAAGAGAAAUAGAAUAAAUACUAAAACUACUCAAGUUUUUUUUUCUGCACUGCACAUUAACUACAUUACUCUCAAUACAAAUAAGCACAGCAAGGAAAUAAGGUCUAAAACAUAACCUUCUUUUGUAUGGUAAAGGUCAGUUCUCAGGGCACACAUAUUAUCUAUUUUAUUUAAACGGAUGUAAUCUGCAGGUUCUGAUGGUAUUUAUUUGCCUUCUCUUUCUCUCUCUCUUCUUUGUCACCUUCAUUGUGGCUUCAGAGAAAAAAAAACCACCUGGAAAACAGGAAAUGUCUGUUCACAUGUGAACUUUUCUAUGCUUUGCAAGAAGAAUAAAAGUCCUGAUGAUCUUGAAGGUACCUUAUUGUGCCCAGAAUGCAGAAAAUAUGUCAAGAUAUCUCUACCAUUGUAAAUUGAACCUGAUUGUUUGGUGAAGUGUUUGGCUUCUCCCUAACUUCAUUUCUUUCCCUCCUAUUUAUAUAUUUAAAAUGCUUGCUUCUUUUGUAAAACAUGAAUGGAAAAGGACAAAUUCAUAUGGCAGCACAAAACAAUUAAAAUGACAUUGCAUUAAAAUAGGAGAAGAGGAACUUACUAGAGCUGCAGAAAAUGUUAUUUGUGUUGUAUUUUAAUGUGAACGGAAUAGUACAUAUUUAUUGAGCUAAAUUUUCUGUUAUAACAUACAAAAACUAUAUGGUAAAUGAGGAUAACUCAAUGUUAUACUGAAAAAAAAUCACAUCAAUGUGUAUAUUAAGAAAAAGAUAAUCUAAGACUCCUACUCAUGGUGAUUUUUUAAUUAAACACAGAACAACAUUAAAAUGUGGGUCAAUCAACAGUCCAAAUUAUAUAUAUAAGCCAUUUUAGAUAGCUUUUAAAUAGUACUAAAUAAACUAUCGAGUUUCCGAAACACCAGAAAAGCAUUCUCAGUGGACUAAAAAUGAUUAUCACGCAUGCCAUCCUUGGGUUAUUAUUACUAUUAUAUACUGUACACAGAAUGGUAAGAUCACAGUUUUAAGUUCUUCAGGUGCUUUGAGUUCUUCCCAAGAACCUAGGAUGUAGUAAUGUAUCAGUGUAGCAUGUGUGUGGAUCCAAGCAUUCUGACUUUUUGUAGUUGACAGAUUGAAAUUUUGUCAAUGAGCACAUUUUCUUGGUACCAUCCAAGAUUUUUUGGUAUAGCACCCAGGGUGCCAAUAACCACUGGGAUCACAACACCCUGUUUACGCCACAAUCUUUCAAUUUUGAUUAUCAGAUCUUGAUAGCUUGUGGUCUUCUCCAGUUCUUUGACUUCUACUAUCUCCUGCUUUUGCACAUCAAUUAUCCACACCAGUUUUUUUUCUACCACAGUUAAAUCUGGUGUGUUGUGAGCCAAGACUUUUAUCAGUUUGUAUUUGAAAAUCCAACAAUAUUUUAACCUGCUUGUUUUUAUUACACUGUUUACACUUUAAUGACAAAUGUCAUGGUGGCACAGUGGCUAAGAUGCUGAACUUGUCGAUCAGAAGGUAAGCCAUUCAGCGGUUCGAAUCCCUAGUGCCGAGUAAUGGAGUGAGCUCCCAUUACUUGUCUCAGCUUCUGCCAACCUAGCAGUUUGAAAGCACAUAAAAAAUGCAAGUAGAAAAAUAGGGACCACUUCGGUGGGCAGGUAACAGCGUUCCGUGCGCCUUCGGCAUCGAGUCAUGCCAACCACAUGACCACAAAGACGUUUUCAGGCAGCGCUGGCUCUUCAACUUAGAAAUGGAGAUGAGCACUGUCCCUAGAGCCGGAAACGACUAGCACAUAUGUGUGGGGGAACCUUUACCUUUAUAGUCUGAAAAGUUUGAAAACGCCUUCUCUAGAAGAAAUUCUGCAAAGUGAGUUUUGCCCCAAGUCUUUAGAGUUGUGGAGAGAACAGCCACAGUAUGUAAUUCCCACGUCAUCCAUAUUUUUCCUUGCCCAUUUCUGCAGCUAGGGCACACUAAUAUCUUGCCUUAUUCUAUCCUUGUUUCCUCAGUUGUGACAAGGGACAGCUUUCCUGCUCUCACUCCUACUCCCCAUGUACUGUUUGCUUUUUCUUCUACUUCUUUACCUUUCUAUGAAGAAAAAUAAUGUCCAGAAAAGAACAAGGAAGGGGAAAGAAUAGCAACUAGCUGCCAUUUUGUGUUCUUCCAAUGUCCAGCUGUCAGAACCACUGGAUGUGUUAAAGAAGAAAGAUGAAGGCAUAUGUAUUGAGUGGGUGUUGUGAUGUUCAUGGGUGUUGUAAUGUUCUCAAUGCUCCUUGUAUCUUAGAAAGCAAAGCCAAGUGGACACAAGGGAGGUGAUUUAGGACUUGUAUGCACUAUCUAGAAGAGGAUAGCAACAUUUUUAAGUGUAGAAGCAUGAUCUCAGCUUUUGUUCACUUCCCUUUCCUGGCAAAUUCAAUAUACAGAUGCUUUUUCCUGGUGUGGCUUGAAAAAUGUGUGUUUCUGCUCAUGUUGCCUCAAGUACCCUUAUCUCUUUCAGUUACAGCACUUUACUUUCUUACAGAUUAAGCCCAACAGUUUAUUGGCUGCUUUACAGGGGAAAAUAUUCUCCUUUAGAUGAAACAACAUUAACUGAGACCUCAAAGGGCUACUUCAGUAUAGAACCCUUUGCAGAAAACCAUUAACUCAACUCAACUCUACUCUACUCUACUCUACUCUACUCUACUCUACUCUACUCUACUCUACUCUACUCUACUCUACUCUAUCCAUAGCUUGUUUCUUCCAGGAACAGACAACUGUACCUAAUCACAAUGACAUCAAAGUAAAACAAUUUAAAAAUUGUGUUGAGGCUUUAAGACAUGCUCAUUCAUUUGUGUUACAGUGUACGUCAGGAAUGAAAUUUGUUUUGUUCUCUCAGAAUUACAUUUUGUCAUGCCCUCUAUUUGCAAGAUCUAUCUUUCCAGGAAGCUUUAGGAAAAGAAAUAAUAUACUAAUGUAAGCAGUUCAGUUUUUUAAAAGUCUCUUUAGCCAAUUCAUUACCACCAAUCUGAUAAUUUUUCUACUGAUUUACUUUUUCAUAGAUCCUUAGGGGAAAACAUUGCUAUUCAAGCAAAGGUUAGAAUGAAAUAUAGUUUUGAAGUUCUGCGUGCCCCCUACUAAGCUUGAAGAACUUACUUUCUCCCGUUCAGAUAGCCUAAAGCUGACUUUCGAAAGUGUCUUUCAAAUGUAUUUGGUCAUAAAACCUUAUUGUAUUUGAUGAAGUCCUGAUACUUUACUCAUGGAGAACACAUUUCAUUAGUUUAUUAUACUACUGCAGUGUGUAUUUUUCUCUUCAACAUGUAGAUUUCUUCAAGGAAGUUUAGGCAAAAUGUGGUCCAUGAGCUACAUCCAGAAUGACUAUCACAUGAUACGUUGGCCUGGAGUUGCAGCUCUGGGUGUGAGAAAGAAGUUUAAAAUGUUGGAUGAAAGUGCCAAUUGGGAAAAAAACACACAUCAUCUAUUGUUAUUGUUUCAUUACUAUGUGUGUUGUUGCCAUGUAUCCACUCCCCUCCUUUUAAGGCCAACUUCCAGCAUUUUAUGGGCCUUGAGUAAUAAGCCUUUAACAAUGCCAAUCUUUGUUGCCAAUGUGGUUCAAAAUCUGGAAUGGCAUCAGAGACUAAUAGUAUGCUGGUAAUUUAUUUUGCUAUAGCAUCGGGCUUUGUGAGUUAUAUUGAAGUCCACAUCAUCCUGACAAAAGAAUCUGUAGCAGAACUCAAGCAUAUGGAUGCCUUUGGGCCCCAUAGCAGUGCCAGGGCCCUGGGGCAUCUGCGCAAAUUGCUUUGGUGAAGUUGCCAGCCCUGCCUUCUAUGUUGCAAUAUAUAUUGCAGAUUCCUUUAAUUUAUUUGGAAUGAAUAACAAGGAAAGGGAGACAGGGUAAUGUUUAUUGAUAAAGACUUCCUCUCCCAGAGGAAAUGUCAUGAGUUUCUUCUCAGUUUCAUAGGAAGAAAAUGUUAGUUAUUAUAUCUGGGAACAAUGAAAGGGAUAGUUGUUUAUAACAAUUAGAAUAAUUUUUUUAAAAAAGAAAAUUCACUUUCACAAUAUGAAAUUCAAAAAGAAAAUGACAAACCCCUCCCACCCCCCCCACCCCCCAAAAAAAUGACCUCAGGCUGAAGAAUUAAUCAACCUCAGCUCUUAGCUGGUACUUGAUAUUUCUUUAACAGUCUUAAUCAAUUGUUCCUCAUCACAUUGGAAAGAAGUAUCAAUUGGAAUAUCAUAUAAUCCAUCCUGGAACUUGUACUCUUUAACAUAUUUAUUCGUGACUUGAUGAAGAGGUGGAAGAAAUUCUAUUAAAUUUUCAGAUAAUGCAAAAGUGGGUCAUUAAAAUUAAGAAAUCAAUUAAAGUUAAUUGAUAAAUUUAAAAAAAUGAAAUUUCAAACCGUUUUGUUUUGGUAAGAAAACAACAGAAUGGAAUUUAAGAAAGGCAAAUGAAGUUUAACAAAUGCAGAUUUCUUCACAUAAGAAGCAAAAGUCAAGUGCACAAGUUAUGUGGGAGCAAUUACUACUUGAGUUGGUAAUAAUAUUUUGGAAAAAUAUCUUUGAAUACUAGCUGAAUAUGAAUAUGAAUUAACUCGGGAUAUGGUAGUCAGAAAGACAAAUGAAAUUUCAGAUUCAGACAAAGUAGAAUAGAUUCAAAGAAGAGCAAACAGGAUAAUUAGGCUACUACUGGUAGAAACUAUGUCACAGAAAGAGAGAUUGAAGAGUCUGCACAUAAUAGCCUUGUGACAGAAGGAGUAACAUGGCCGGCAUUCUACAAAGGUUUCCACCAAGAAGAUCUGAUUGUUCUUCAUUGCUCUUGAGUAGGUGAUACAAAUCAAUGGAUUUAAAUUCCAGGAAAGCAGAUUUCAAUGGAGGAGGAGGAGGAGAAGGAGGAGGAGGAGGAGGAAGAGGAGGAGGAGGAGGAGACUUUUCCAACAAUAAGAGCUCUCUGACAAUGGAACCAAUUACCAAGAGAGGUGAUAGGAUCCUCUCCCUGGGAUUUGUUAAAGCUGAGGCUAGACAGCCAUCUGUUGGAGAUGUUUUAAUCUGGUUUUCUCGGUGAGUAAGAAGUUGUUCUCUGAAGCCUAUAUAUUAUGAAUCCAUUUAUAUUUGCUACCAAAAUACCUAAUAUUUUGAAAAUCCACUUCAAUUGUUUGCAAUUACAUUUUCAAACUACCAGUUACCACAUUCGUACUAUCUAGAUUAUAUACUUUUCCUUUACCAUGUGUAUGCUCUUUAAAUUAUUUUUAUUCAGGUAAAUUAACAAAAUAUUGGGGUCAAGUUGAUUUUAAAAAGAAAAGAGAAAGAAAAUUCAGGUCUGAUUUCCCUAGAUUAUCAGGUUUCUAGAUCUUGUAAAGCUCUGACCCUUUUAUUCUGUGUCCUAGACUGGGUAGUUUUCUAUUUUAUUUUAUGUUUUAUUUUAAGAUUUUAUAAAUGGUAUGAUCUUUUUCCAAGAAUGUGGUCCUUACACAUAUGUGAACCAUAUUUCCCUAGCAAUAAUUAGACACUUACGGUGUCAAAUGAUGGUCAAGGCAUGAAAUGUUACUCGCAUAUUGAAUACCUGAGAGUGUUUCCUUCCAGGGAGAAAUUAACUUAAUAUAUUGUUUUCCUCUCAGUGAAAUUAGCUCCUUGUUCUGUGUAUUUAAUAAUGAGAAAAAGCCAUGUACUAAUUAGAAGCAGAUUUUUAUGGCUACCUGUUUCAUUGAAGAAAUGUCUGCUUGAAACAAUGACUGCUUCCUGGGCAAGAGUUUCACAAGAGGAAACUAACUUUCAGAACUGCUGUGAUAAUUUUUAAGAGACUCUAUCAGCAUUUUUUCUGGCUUUGGCCUCUUUUACUGCUUCUAUGGUCUUAAAUGCCUGAAAUAUUUGCCACAGUACUUCUGUGGAGUUGUAGCCUCAUAAGAUAUGAAGGAUGAAUUUAAGAUAAUAUUUUUCAGGCCUGUUUUGACUAUGGUCCAACUGUCCAUAGAUUGUAGUUCUACUGUCCAUAGAUUUCUGCCUCUUGUUAGAUCAUCAAAUAACUGAAGAUUGAUUUAUACUACUAUAAUAUAUGAUAAUAUACUUUAUUGAUUACUCAGUUGACCAAUGACCAUAUCAAAUUAUGGGCAUCAGCCACAGCAAGUUACAAUAAAAUAAGAUAGGGCAUAAUAUAUUAGUAUGUGAUAAAUUCAGAAGUGGGUUUCAGCUGGUUCUGACCAGUUCUGGAGAACCAGUAGCGGAAAUUUUGAGUAGUUCAGAGAACCGGUGGUAAAAAUUCUGACUGGCCCCACCCCCAUCUAUUUUCUGCCUCCCCAGUCCCAGAUCCAGCUGAUCAGGAAGAAAUGGAGAUUUUGCAGUAUCUUUCCCCUGGAUUGGGGAGGGAAUGGAGAUUUUACAGUAUCCUUACCUUGCCACACCUACCAAGCCACACCCACCAAGCCAUGUCAUGCCCACCAAGCCACACUCACAGAACCGGUAGUAAAAAAGUUUGAAACCCACCACUGGAUAAAAUAGACUAUGGCAAGAUAAACUAAACUAAAAUAUAAUAGAUUAAAUAAAGAUAAAAGAGUAUAAGGUAAAAUGUAAUGCAAAAAUAUAUAAUAGAACAAAAAUUACAAUUCAAAAACAGUAUGUGUUUAAAUGAAUUCAUCAUCUUUCCAUACAGUCUCAAUGUGUUCAAUUAAACAUGUUCCAUACUGGACAGCCCUGACCAUAAACUUAACAGUUCUAGUGACUCCAUAUGUAUUUGUGCUUAUACAAUAUAAGAUAUUUUUUGUUAGAGUCCCAAUAUAUGAAUCUGUCAAGUAGUAUCUGUAAGUAUUGAGCCUUUGCUAAGGCACAUAGUUGGCAAUUGAACAGGACCUGUGUAUUGUGUUCUAUUUCUGUUGCUCCACAAACAUACUUAUUCUCUCAAGUUAUGACACUUGAUGGAAUCAUCCAAAUGUAAUUGUAGAAUUAGCUGCUCAAAUCUAUCACUGUGGUAAUGAGUCAAACCUGUUGUCAAAUGUUUUUCUGUUUGGAAGGUCAUUUUAUUUUUGGCCAGCCAUUUCAACAAUUUAAGCAAUAACAUGGAAAACUCUUAGUUUGAACAUUGGCUUAGCCUGACAGCCAACUGAGGAUAGGUAUUUUAUUGAGAGGCCAUGAUGUCAGAUGAUUUGGAAAAGUUGAUUGAUCCGUGUGGUAGGUUAAAAUGUGCCCAUCAGGUAAGGUUUGACUGUAAGGUUCCAUUGAGAAUGUCCUCCAUUAGUAAUUAAAUACUUUGAUUAUUUUAGACUAUACACGGACUGGAUUCCUGUUUCAGCUCUUACUGCUUUUGCAAGUAUGCUCCUAUCAGUCCCUAGAACAGUUCUUAAAAAGUACAUUUGAUUCUGUUCAAAUAAGGAGGUCUUUGACAGAACCCACAGAUCAGGGGCGGGUUUCAAAACCUGUUGCUACUGGUUCACUUGUGGGUGUGCACGCAUAUGGGUGGAGCCUGCCGCCACCACUAGCAGUUCGCCCAAUUCGGGGCAAACCGGUAGCAACCCACCAUUGCCACAGCUCUAUGCCAUAUGUUAACAUCGGUGCAUUUUUUGCCUUGAGCUUUAAGAUGGGGAAGUAGAGUGAUUGAGUGGUUAUCUGAGAGAAUUCAUCUAGUGAACUGCCCUGGCAGAGACUAGAUGUGAACUAAGGACUCUUCUUAUUUGGAAUGCAACGUUUGUCUUAUUCCAAGUCUCCUUAAGAUAUAUUUAUUUCUUAAUUAACUCAGUGUCCUCUUUCAGCUCAGAAAAGACUACCAAAUAAUUCACAAUUAAAACUUCACAAAAAUCUAUAAACUUUUAAGAACCUAAUCUCUUUAAUCUUAUAAUUAGCUUUAAAGCUUUAUAAUUCUUAAACUUGAAAACACUAAACAAUGGACCUGCUCACAGUAAUGCCAUCGACUGCAUUGCUCCAGAAGCAUAAUGUUUUGUUGCUUGAUGACACCAUCUUUAUUAGAAAAGCAGAUUAUGUAAGAUUACAUGGCUAAAAUGCCUUCUGACUCCUAGGCCAUUGUCUGAGGAAAGAAUGAGUCCCCAAACAACUGACCCUCUGUAUUUUAAAAGAGCUGUAAUAGUUCUAGAGAUUAUGAAAAAAACUACACAGAUAAAGGGAAUUUUAUUAGACGUGCUUCUCUUGGCAAAAGGGUAUCAACUUUCAACUUCUCUGAGCAUUUUUUUUUCCAGAAAGGAAAGGUCUCCCUAAAGUUUGAAACUUAGCAUAUCCCUAGGAAACAAAACAGUGAUCAAUAACAGCUAUUGUCUGAUACUUCCUCCUUAACAAUCAUAAUUUCUGGGCCUCCAGAUGUUGGUUUAACAUUAUUUCACCAGUUUCCCUGGAUUAGGUGACCAGGGGUGUUUUUCUUUCCAAAUUAUCUAAACUCAUAAUAGAAAAUGUUUAAUUAAUGCACUGAGAUAGAAAAACAUAUGGAUAAAAGAAAAGAAGCAUCUAACAUCCCAAAUGGGCAGCAUUUACUUGCUCUUUCAGAGUUAACUGGCAAUAUGUGGCUAGCUCUGUUCAGAAUAAAUGGGCAAUGUAAAAUAUACAUGAUCAGUUAGUUUCUCUCGGCAGCAAUUUCUUUGAUGUUUGCCAGAGUGCCUAUUUAUAAAAUUUGUGUUCACAAGCAGGAUUGCUUGUGAACCUUUAUUUCCCCCCAGCUUCUCAAGUAUUGCAUUUCCUUGUUGGAUUUUCUUUAAAAUAAGGCAGUGGGGAGGGGGGAAUGCAGGAAGAAAACUUCAGCCCAAGGCACCAAGUACAAACUUCUUCUCUUUUUGUUGCAGGUUGAUGAUAAACCUACAGAUGCUUUUUGCGGGUGGAAGAACCACAAGAACUUAAUUAUAAGGAUUCUGGAAGUUGUAUACCCAAGACGUCUGGAAGGCACCUUUUGAAAAAGCCUCUUGUAGAUUGUUUCUGAAGAAGAAUUUCAUGGAGAAAUGGAAAAUUCCAUUACGUUCUUUCCUAGAAAUAUCCAGAAUAUAGAAUGAAAAGAUCAAUGUUUAUCUUUUUUUAAUUAAGUAAUAAUCUGUUUUUUUAAUCUGUACCACUACUUUUCUUAAAUAUGUUUUUUCUAGAUAGCUUUUCUUUCAAAACUAUGUAUUUUGAAAAUGAUUUAAUGAUUUUUUUUUAAAAAAAUGCUACAGUAUAACUCUCAGGAAAUGUAAAAGUUUGUGAGUAAAGUCAAACUAAAGUGUUAAUUCAGGAAACACUGGUUACAACAGUUUGUAGAGAUUCUCAGUCACCAGGUCAUGGCUGUCCCUAAGGUGCUUUUUCAGAAGGCAACUGGACUUUCUUGUUGUUGUUGUUUUCUUUGAAGAUGUUUCGCUUCUCAUCCAAGAAGCUUCUUCAGCUCUGACAGGACAGUGGGGAAUGGAAGGAUUUAUAUUCCUUGCAGACAGCUGGUAAUCUACAUCCUUUUAGAGGGUCAUUGAAGCACUUGGAGGUUUAUCUUUGUCCUCAGAGUCACCUGAGUAGUGGUCCUGGUUCCUGUAUUGUGCAGUUUUUCUUCUGGAAAUCCAUUCCUACUCCCACACCAUUCAAAAGGUGUUCAUCCCAAUUAAAACAGUGAACAUUGAAGUUCACAAACAUUGUGUUGUUCAAGCAUUCCUUCAGCUAAAAAAUGAUGAUGAAGAUGAAGAAUGAUUGUUAAUUUAUUUGAUUUAUAUGGUUGUCAAUCUUACCUAGGUGACUUUGGGUGGCUCACAAAAGAUAAAACAACCCAGUAAAACAAGUUAAAAAACCAUAUAUAUAUAUAUAUAAACUGUUACAAUAGAAAAGAUAAAAUUUUGUGAUAUAAAAAUCACAGUCAGCGACAGAAUUAAUUCUACAUCAGCUCAAUAGAGCCAUUUUAAGAGCUCCCCACCAUUGCCAGACUCCCAGUACCACAGCAGAGCCACAAGUUCUGAUAACAACAGCAGCAGCAGCAACAACAACAACAACGCUGCUACAUGAGUAUCCUUCUGUUCAUGUAAUGGAACUUCUCUGUAGUUUUCUUCCUCUCCAUGUCUCUAUGGUAACUUUUCAUAUUCAGCUGAUGGCUAAACAAUUAACUAAAUAAUCAUUGUUUCUUUUCACUAUAUUAUUUUUUUCUCUUUGCUUGCUUUGGCUUUGGCUCCUCCUAUGGGCCUUUCUACACCACUCAGUUCAUAACUGAAGAAGCAUUUUGGAUGUGAAGCAAAAUGCCUUCAAGGAAAAGCCAAGAAAGUCCAGUUGCUUUUUUGAAGAAGCACCUUUGGGAUAACCAUGACUUGUAUGACUGAAAAUCUCCAUAGAUAUUCAAUUCAAGUGUUAUUCUCUCAUCCUUGAAUCAGAAGGACCCGAAGGACUAUGUGCAUACUUCUUAAAAAAACUUUCCAUUAAUAUAGCAGAACCCCUAAGUAUUAUCUUUGAUAAAGCUUUCACUACCAGUUCUCUUCCCAAACUUUGGUCACUAGCCACAGUCAUCCCUAUCUUCAAAAAAGGAGACCCCAGCUUAGUCGAAAACUACAGACCGAUCUCCCUUUGCUGCGUCACCUGCAAAGUCAUGGAAUCUAUCAUCAACCAAUCCAUUACCUCACACUUAGAAACUAACAACCUACUCUCCAACAAACAAUUUGGUUUCAGGAAAAAAUUAUCAUGUAACUUACAACUUCUCCACUGCAAAAACAUA